rnacentral:rRNA from 1 species
AGUGAACGCUGGCGGUAGGCCUAACACAUGCAAGUCGAACGGCAGCACAGUAAGAGCUUGCUCUUACGGGUGGCGAGUGGCGGACGGGUGAGGAAUACAUCGGAAUCUACUUUUUCGUGGGGGAUAACGUAGGUAAACUUACGCUAAUACCGCAUACGACCUACGGGUGAAAGCAGGGGAUCUUCUGACCUUGCGGGAGUGAAUGAGCCGAUGGCGGAUUAGCUAGUUGGCGGGGUAGAGGCCCACCAAGGCGACGAUCCGUAGCUGGUCGGAGAGGAUGAGCGGCAAGAGGGGGACGGAGGUACGGCACAGACGGCGAGGGGAGGGAGGAGUGGGGAAUAUUGAAAAAGGGGCGGAAGCAGGAUGAAGCAACGCCGCGUGCGGGAUGAAGGCCGUCGGGGUGUAAACAGCGUGCGCCGGGGAAGGAGCGGGAGGGAAGGGAAUGGGUAAAGAAGCAAGGGCGAACCAGGGG